rnacentral:rRNA from 1 species
GUGCCAGCAGCCGCGGUAAUACAGAGGGUGCGAGCGUUAAUCGGAUUUACUGGGCGUAAAGCGUGCGUAGGCGGCUUUUUAAGUCGGAUGUGAAAUCCCUGAGCUUAACUUAGGAAUUGCAUUCGAUACUGGAAAGCUAGAGUAUGGGAGAGGAUGGUAGAGUUCCAGGUGUAGCGGUGAAAUGCGUAGAGAUCUGGAGGAAUACCGAUGGCGAAGGCAGCCAUCUGGCCUAAUACUGACGCUGAGGUACGAAAGCAUGGGGAGCAAACAGGAUUAGAUACCCUGGUAGUCCAUGCCGUAAACGAUGUCUACUAGCCGUUGGGGCCUUGGAGGCUUGAGUGGCGCAGCUAACGCGAUAAGUAGACCGCCUGGGGAGUACGGUCGCAAGACUAAAACUUAAAGGAAUUGACGGGG